UCUUCCGUUUUUUCCACUUUAAAUAACUACUUCUAUUGGGGAGGGCUCUUUCUGGCGUUUUGGUGCUGAUGAUGGUGGUGGAAUGGGCGAGGGGGGCGAGCUCAGAACUUUGCCUGCCCUGGGAGGGUGGGAGGACCUGGGAGGGAGGAACAAAAGUGGUUUUGUCUGGUGAUGCCGAGUUGACCGGGCAGACUUGGAAGCCCUCACCCCGGAAGGCAGCGAACUGUUUGCUUGUUUACAGAGAAGUAAACGACAGCAUCAGAGGAGAGGAACUGCAGCUCCUCACGCCCUUCUUAAGGAUGGUCCAGAAACCCCAGAUGCCCAGUCGCCUUUUCGCGUCCUCCACUGAGAGCAGCAGAUCAGUUCACGUUGACAGAUUAGAGGGGAAAUGUGCAAUUGUUUAUGGCUUCAGCUGUACAAAAAGGAGCCCUGGUAGCUUCUGCUGAGACUUUUCAGUAGAAAAUCCUUCAAAAAAGAAAAAAGAAAGAAAGAAAGAAGCAGCUAUUUUGAAGACUGACUUUCUAAAAUUAUAUUUAGGAUUAAGAGGCUGUAACAUUGCCAUUCGUCGCCGAGGCUCCUGGUUUCAGCAUGUCUCCUUGGUUCUCAGCCAGUCCUGGGUGUUCAGCCCUCCAAUAGACACCAGAUCGCUGAUGCCCUGUCCCAAACAUAAAUCCCAUCCUGUUUACCAAUCCCUCAAAAUCUUCAUGACCUUCAUAUAUAACGGGCAUUUUCAAGGAUCUGGCAAGCCUGCCAGUUUGGUAAUGCAAGGCAGAAGAUAGUUUUCUCCAUGCCAUGGGGAACAUGGCUUCUAGUUGCUUUGGUCUCUCAUUUCAUCUUAGCAGCCCUUCUACCAUCAAAGAAAGAAGAUUUCUUCCCCUUUGGCUCCAUCCUAUAAACUGUCUCAAGAAUGACUUACACUGGAUCAGCGGAGGUUGUGUACUCCUUCCCCAACCAGACACCAAGCCAGGAAGAUGGGGUAAUAUCCCAAUGUAUUAGCUCAUAGAGUAAAAACUUAAAUUUAUUUCUUAACAUGCGUGCCUUUUAAUAGAGAGACUUGUAAACACUUGGGUACUGUCUUACAAAAAGCAGAACUCUCUAAAGAGGGUGACUGGAGGCUGACACAGACCAACAUCCUG